rnacentral:tRNA from 1 species
UAGCUCAGUUGGUUAGAGCACCACCUUGACAUGGUGGGGGUCGUUGGUUCGAAUCCAA